AUAUAUGUUUAGUUAAUAAUGUAACUUGCCAAAAACCCAUCUUUCUUAAACUCAAACUCAGCAUCGAUAUCUUGUUCUUGGUUGGUUCCUUAAUUAUUAUCUGGAUUUAUUAGCUUCAUUAGAUUUUCUUCUUAGAGAUGGAUUCUAUAAUAAAGACAUGGUUGGUGUUUCCUAUUCUUCUCUUGUCUGCAAACUAUUUGCAGCAAUCUGUCAAUGGGAAAUCCCAAGUUCCUUGUCUUUUUAUCUUUGGAGAUUCUUUCAAUCUUCCUACCUAUGCAAAAUGUAAUUACAAACCUUAUGCAACGGUCGAACUGCAAUUGACAUAAUAACUCAGCUUCUUGUUUUGAGAACUUCAUUCUACCAUUUGCAAACAUUAGUGGUUCAGACAUACUCUAAGGUGUGAACUAUGCAUCUCGUGGAGCUGGAAUUCGUGUCGAGACAAGCAUGACUAUGGCAUAAAUAAAAUUAUAAACCAAAGAGUCUUUUUCUUUUUUACAGGAAAAUCAAAGAGCCUUCUUCAUUUCUUUGAUUGUUCAUCUUUAUCUGCAAUUAGUUUUUAGUAGAGGACUAGAAUAUUUUUGUUACACUGCUUAUAUACAUGUCACCAAAAUAACAUUACGUCUGUACAGGGUUCUGUUAUCAGCUUGGGAUUACAGUUAAAGAAUCACAAAGUAAUAGUUUCUCAAAUUGCUAGCAGACUUGGAGGGUUUUUGGUUUCAAACGCUCCUUGUUGUCCACCGAGGUUGAUUGGAAGGUGUUAUGCUAAUGAAAGGCCAUGCUAUAAUAGGAGUGAUUAUUUUUUUUGGGAUGAAGUCCAUCCCACUGAGGCAUAUAACCAACUCACUGCAACAAGGUCUUAUUAUGAUUCAUAUAAUUCAGGAUUCACAUAUCCAAUGGAUAUUAAAAACCUUGUUGAACAAAAAACUAAGAUGGAAUUGGAGUCCAUAAAUGAGAGCACAUCAAAGCUUAGUGCCUCAAGUUAAAUAGGUUCAAGUUAUUUGUAUACAUUCAUUCUUUUCCUACCUACAUUUGAAGCAAUCUUUUCAUAUCAAAUAGCAUUAUUAUAAACUAGAAUAAAAUCAAAUUAGUGUAAUUGGUUCUCUCGCCUUAAGUUUGAUUUGAUUUGUGUUUGAUAAGUUAUUUGAUGAAUUUAAGUGUGUAUCCGACCGAUGAUGUGCUCAAGGAAAUGCAAACAUUGACUCGGUUUGUUAAUAGUCUUUGUCUGAUGUUGGAAAAUGGAAGUGAGUGCAGAAUGAAAAUCAAAAUGGGUUUUAUACUGCAAACUAAACUUCAUUGAAUAUUCUUCAGUACAUGUAUUUGAUUCAGCAACGCAACUCUUCUAGAUUCUUCCUUAAACUUGAUGAUACAUUUCAAAUACGAAUGCCAAGCGAGGUAUGAAAGUACAGAAUAGAAAUAUGGUCUUUUAGUCCCACAUUGUCAGCAAUUUGUUCUAUGUACGAUGACAUGUGAAGAAGAACCAUCAGCAAAUGUAUUUGCUUGAUGGAAAAUGCUGGAUAAAGCGAAAAAUCAUCUCACAAUGUUUCACGACAUGAUGUAGCAGUUUGCAACUAGCUUAUUAUCACCCAUACCGCCAUGAUUUCCGCCAAAGUCAAGGUAAAUCGGUUUUUGAUUUUUAUAUGACCAGAUCGUGUGCUUUGCGAUCCAGUUCGUGAAUAGAAAUUUUCUUGAUAUAGUAUUGUUGCUGCACGAUAGUGUCUAUAAUGAUCCCAAUCACACUGUUCCGGUGCUGGUCACCAAAACUGCCAACCUUUGAUCAUCUAUCAGACAAUCACCGAGCCUAUUUGAAUUUGUUCUUAACACAUUUCAUGGUGAGUACAUUAUUGCUCAAGAAGGAAUAUAAAGUGGCACCCUUAAUUUGGCUAAGGCUCUACAUGACAUUGGAGCAAGAAAAUAUGUGUUAGUUGGGUUGGAACUUUCAGGCAGCACUCCGUUACUUUUAAUUUCCAAGCUUAAAUCUCUAGUGGAACAUUUCAAUAAUAAGUUCUCUGCUGAUUCUAAAUUCAUAUUUAUAAACUUUACAUUAGAGUCAGAUGGUUUUUUGGUUUAAAAUGCUUCUUGUUGUCCAUCAAGGUUGGAUGGACUGUGCAUUCGUGAUGAAAGGCCAUGCUAUAAUAGGAGUGAAUAUGUGUCUUGGGAUGCAGUUCAUCCCACUGAGGCUUGGAGCCUACUCAUUGCAACAAGAAUGUACGAUUCAUCUACUAAUUCAGGGUUCACUUAUCCAAUGGAUAUUAAACACCUUGUUGCACAAGAAAUUGAGAUGGAAUUGGAUUUCACUUCACAGCUUAGUGCCUCUAGUUAAACAUGUUCAAGUUAUUUGUAUGCGUUCAUUCUUGUCCUACCUACAUUUGAUACCAUAUUUUCAUAUCAAAUGACAUUAUUGUAAACUAGAAUUAAGUCAAAUAAGUGUAAUUGGUUCUGCCGCCUUACAUUUGA